AAAUUCAUUAAGUAUAUCGCUGGAGUUUAUAAAGUAUAUUUUUCUCUAAACAAAGUAUGGUUGGUUACAUGUUCUGAAUUUACUUAGAAUUUCGAGAUUUUUUCUCAAAAUUAAGUAAACUGAAUUACAAAAAAAAUCACAUUAUUCUUAGUCGAAUACCUAAAACUUGCGAAAGAUAUAAAAAGGCAGGAUGAGCAACUUGGAAAAAAGGCCGAAUUACGAUUUAUGUAAAAAAAAAAAAAAAAAUCCCAGACAAACUAAUAAAAACUAAAACGGCAGGACCAAAUAGACUAAAAAUAAAAAGACAGGACAGAGAAUACAACUUAAAAAAAAGAACUAAGUGUUUCACCAAAGUCCACCCUCCCAUCAAAAUAAAAUGGUAGAUCUCUUAAUCCAGAAACAACUGAGAGGAGACAGUUGAAUUAAAUAUUUAGAUGUGAAACCUUAAGAUUUUAAAGUUUAAAAUUUUACUAGUGAACAAAAUAAUAAAUUCAACGAAUUUUACAUGAACAUACAUGUAUCUUUGAAAAGUUAGAAUUGCUAUGGGUUAAUCAAAAACACAAUAAUGUACGUGAAUACUAUGAUGGAGGUUAUGACAACCUUGACCGGCUACGUGAAUACUGAUCAGUCCAUUCAACUUAUAGUACGCGUGUUCUAUUUUCGCAGG
rnacentral:lncRNA from 1 species